UACGGAGGGUGCAAGCGUUAUCCGGAUUCACUGGGUUUAAAGGGAGCGUAGGUGGGCUGGUAAGUCAGUGGCGAAAUCUCCGGGCUUAACUCGGAAACCGCCGUUGAUACUAUCAGUCUUGAAUAUUGUGGAGGUAAGCGGAAUAUGUCAUGUAGCGGUGAAAUGCUUAGAUAUGACAUAGAACACCGAUAGCGAAGGCAGCUUGCUACACAAUUAUUGACACUGAGGCUCGAAAGCGUGGGGAUCAAACAGG
rnacentral:rRNA from 1 species